rnacentral:lncRNA from 1 species
GCUGGUUCUUUUAUUUUAUAAAAUGUGUCUGAUGUCAGGGAUAGUUAGAACAGCAAAAACAGGAUAAAGGAUGUACUGUUUCAGAAGUAAGGUGAGCUAGUUGGAAAGCUGUGUUGGGGGCAGGAGCUUUGAGACUUGCCUUAGUGGAGACCCGGCAGGCGAAAGAAACAGCGCAGGGGCGGGGAUGCGCAGGCGCACCGCUGCCUGGAAGGCAUGCACUACAGCCGGAAGUGCGGUGAAGACAUGGCCUCCCCGCCGGAGAUGAGCCUAGAGGACGAGGCCUCUCAGAGCCCGGGAGUCCUGGAGCUCCGCGGAGAAGGGCCUGGUCAGUACCUAGGUUGGGACACAAGGUGUGGCGGGGCUUGGACACCCGAAAACAAACUUUUUCUGGGCAAGGCCAGCGGAUGGGAGGGAACGGCGCCGUCACCGCCACUGCCAAUGGACAGUGCCAAUACUGAGGCUCCCUGGGUGGCAGCCCCUUGACUCCUCUGCCCCUGUCCUGGCUUCAGUGCCCCCAUGUGGGUCGCAUUUCUACCCAGCACCCCCCUGCCCCUGUCUCCUCUGUCCUCGCUCUCUUCGCUCUGUCUUCUGUCCUCCCUCUACUGUCUCUCAUCUCCAGAGUCCCCGCCGCGCACUGUCUCAACGGCCCUCUCUUGCCUUCUGCCUUCUGGUCGCUUCCCCUCUCUCCUCUCCCCCACCCCAUAGUCCCCUUCCCCCCUCACCAUCCUGGACCCGAUUCUUCUGUCUCACUCCUCCGCUCCUCUCCCCUUCAAACCCCUCUCCCUGCCUGACACCUCCCCACUUUCUCACCGUUCCUUCCUCCCUUUCUACCUCAAUUCUCCCUUCCUCCCCGCUUCAUAUCCCCCACCUGUGUCUCUCCCCACAUCUUGUUUCUCCCUCCUCUCUGAUUUUCCUUCUUUGCAGAUAUGAAGCCAAGGUCCACCUGCCUGGUUGAAGCUGGACAGGAAGAUGGGAAGAAAUUCCCUGAGCAGGGAGCACCAGAAGGAGAAGGAGACUGUGUAAUGGGCCUGGGAGCUCCUGGCCCCAAGAAGGAAGACAAGGAGACCCUGGAGGACAGUGAUGUGACCUCCCUGGUUGUACCAGGAGAUGUGUGGGAGGAAGACAGAGAGGAGGACCUGCUCCCUGAGCGGGCGGCAGCAGCGGGAGAAGGCCGCUGCCCCAAGAAGGAGGACGAGCAGCAGGAGGGCAGAGGCAGUGAGCAGGAGCCUGGGCAGGAGCAGCUGGAGGGGCCCUGCCUCUUGUGCGAUGUGCUCUGCAGGUUGCAGCUGCAGCAGGUGGAGCGCAUUUUCCAGCGCACUCAAUACCCAGAUGUGUUUGCAAGAAAGGAGGUUUCCAUACCCACGUGUGUCACUGACGCCACGGUGAAGCCCAGGGACCCCGAAAACGAUUCGCCGUGAAAGCCUCUCUAGAACCUGCUUCAACCUGGCCUCGCUGUUCUCCUAGGCAGUUUUGGGCUGCUGCGUUUGCACUGCCUUUUAGCGUGUUUGUGAGGAAAGGUUUGAAUUGGGGCUGUUGUCAGAGAAUGGCACAAGUGAAUGUCACGAUGUGGAAAUUUGUCGUUACCAAGAGGGACAAGUCUCACUAAUGGAAAAGAAAUGAAAGGACCCAAUUGCUGCUCCGAACCCUUUGAACAAGUAAAGUAGAAAUACAAGUCAGCUCCUCGUAAUGGUGGUGUCUUUAGGGAGCACGUGUGUGGGGAGUCAUGCUGGGUUCAGUCUGACCUGGGAAGCAAGCAGAGUCAUGACCGAGGACCGAGGCUGUGAGAGGGUUCGGCCCUUGAAUGAUUAAAACUAUUCAGCCGUGUGAGGAUGCAGCUAGGGCAGUGAGCUUCUAAAUGUGUGGGCACCGGGGAAAGGGGAUCAAUACUCCCACACAGAACGCCCACAGUGGGAGUCAGCCACGUGGGCUUCACCAUGUGGACCGGGCUGUGGGGAGGAGACAGCUUAAAAUCCAAGGGCCGGGCUGUCCGCUGUUGUUUUAGUGUGGCCUAGAGCAGAGUGGAAAGGCCUGGGCUUGAGCUCCCGGGCGCGGGGUGGCGUGGCAGGAAGGAGCAACCAUGGCUCCAGUGCUCACCUUAGGAGGAGGCUGAGGGCAGCGUCGACAAACCGCAGAUUUGUCUGGAACCUGAACAGACACCGGGGUAGCAUACACUCCCACUGCCCUCAGGGACAAACGGCUUCCAGGUGAGCUGCAAACACUCACACGUUACCUCGAGGAUAAUGUCCCAAGUUGAGCUGUACGAAAGAUUAUUCUCUCCAGGAAUUUGCAAGAUGCAGGGAAUUUCAGAUUUUGGUGGUUGGAUUUUCAAACCCUGGGUUUUGUGGGGAACCUGUUUGGUGGAGCAGAGUAGAGGAUAGCGUUUCGGAUCCGAUUCUUGCCCUGGGCAUUGGAGUCCUCCCUGCUGGUGUGGCAGUGAGUCCUGAUUGCAUGGGGUCGCAGUAUCGGGAAUCCACACCACACGCAGCCACGUGCUGUAUAAAGUCCUUUGGGCCCGACUCGCUCCCGGAUGUGUUUUAUUGGGUUUCCUGUGCAGUUUGUGUGUGUGCUCAAUGACUGAAAGGAGGUGGCCAUUUGCGGGUGGUCUCGGUGAAUUUGGACGUGGCUCCGGUGGCUGCCCCAGACUCUAGGCUGUCACACCAGAGCCAUUGGGCAGGAGGGGCGUCCACACCUCUAAUGCCCCCGCAGGGCAAGCCGCCAAUGCUCCUGAUCCCCAUUGUCAGGCCUUCCUUGGCAC